GGAUUAGUGGCGAACGGGUGAGUAACACGUGAGUAACCUGCCCUGGACUCUGGGAUAACCCCGAGAAAUCGGAGCUAAUACCGGAUAGGACCUUGGAUCGCAUGAUUUUUGGUGGAAAGUUUUUCGGUUUGGGAUGGACUCGCGGCCUAUCAGCUUGUUGGUGAGGUAAUGGCUCACCAAGGCGUCGACGGGUAGCCGGCCUGAGAGGGUGACCGGCCACACUGGGACUGAGACACGGCCCAGACUCCUACGGGAGGCAGCAGUGGGGAAUAUUGCACAAUGGGCGCAAGCCUGAUGCAGCAACGCCGCGUGCGGGAUGACGGCCUUCGGGUUGUAAACCGCUUUUGUCAGGGAAGAAGGGCUUCGGCUUGACGGUACCUGGAGAAAAAGGACCGGCUAACUACGUGCCAGCAGCCGCGGUAAUACGUAGGGUCCGAGCGUUGUCCGGAAUUAUUGGGCGUAAAGAGCUCGUAGGCGGUUUGUCGCGUCUGCCGUGAAAUCCUCAGGCUCAACCUGAGGUCUGCGGUGGGUACGGGCAGACUUGAGUGGUGUAGGGGAGACUGGAAUUCCUGGUGUAGCGGUGGAAUGCGCAGAUAUCAGGAGGAACACCGAUGGCGAAGGCAGGUCUCUGGGCACUUACUGACGCUGAGGAGCGAAAGCGUGGGGAGCGAACAGGAUUAGAUACCCUGGUAGUCCACGCCGUAAACGUUGGGCGCUAGAUGUGG
rnacentral:rRNA from 1 species